rnacentral:lncRNA from 1 species
GUGGCCAGGGAGCCGCAGGCAAGGGACUAAGGGGAGGGGGGCUCAGUGCCAGCUGCUUAAAAAUGCCCCUGUGGCAGCGAGGGGCACCAGAGGCUGGGUCUAAUUAGUUGAGAAGCAGUGACACCCCCAACCACUCCCCAAACAGGCUGGCUCCCGUCUCCAGGCCCCAAGGAGCCACACCUGGACCAGACCCCAGGAAAGGCAAGGGCGCUAGCUGGUGGGAGCCACCCCGCCAUGCUGAUGUCAGAGAAGCAAGAACUCUGGAGAAGCAGCCUCCUGGGACCAGAGGAGGGCCAGCAGCAGGCAGCCCGGAGACAGAACUCUCACCCACGCCUCUCCAAGCCUCCCAACAGAAGACAGAGGUCCCCCACAGCCAGAGACAUUUCCUGAAGACAUGGGGAACACAGAGGCAGAAACAGCCCAUCCACCCAGGAGCUGUCCCCCACACUGCCGGGAGCCGGCACCCAGAGCCGCCAGGUAAAACUGAGGCCACCUGGUUCAACAUCACCUUUCACAGAAGGGGAAGCAGCCACAGAAAGAAGGGCCUCGUUAAGAAGUGGAACCUGGGACCCCCAAGCGGUGUCUCUCAUCCUGACUGGGGAUCCAGAGUAGGAGGGAGCCUUUGGUGGGGUAAGUGGAAUGGGGCGGGGUGGGGGGUGGCCAUAGACCCCUCUUCUCAGUAAGGCCCUCAUGUGAAGGAGGCAGGGGUUGGGACAAGUGCUAAGUAUGCAAGACUCAAGGGAAGAGCUGCUGGAGCCAGGAGAAGCACCUCCCUCCCGGCCCCUCUGCCCCUCCUCAUAGCCCAGCUGCACUGACUCCUCCUCCAGGAAGCCUUCUCAGCUUCCCCAGGGGUGGGAACCUUUUUGUCCUCCAGGUGUGCUUGGCUGUCCUUUCUUGGGCUCUCUCUCUCUCUCUCUCCUCAUCCCACUUGAGUCUGCCCCCUAUUCACCUUGUGAGGGGAAUUUUCCUUCUACUCAAUCUGACCGAGGUCCUCCAGGUCAAGGACAGCGAGGCUCUCAGUCCCACUUCCCCUUGGCACAUAGAAGAGGCAGUGCGCUGAAGGGACAGGUGAAAUGAUUAGACCCUGCCCCCAAACCAAGGCCUGGCCAAUUGGACAGGGCAUGAGACAUUCAGCGUAGAGGUUAAAACGAGGGCCCUGGGUUAGGAACCCCAGCUCAGUUCUCAGCUCUGUACCCUUGGAAAAUUCCCUUCCCAUGGAGCUUUGUGGAUGCACAAGGACUUGCACAAAGAAAACAUUCAAUAUCCAGGACUAUAAAAUUCCACAAAUGAUUGUGCUUAUUACAUUCAUUAUCACGAUGAUUAUUCCAGACACAAAGGAACAGAACGAGGCACCAACAGCAAGGGGCAAGCAGAUUCAAGGGCCACAGAGGAGAUGGAGGCAAACACCUUCCCCUGGUCAGAGGCUGUGCCUCAGCCCUUCUCCCUGCAUCAGUUUCUCCUUCAGAAGCAUGGGACUACCUCCCAUCUAGUUCUCGUUUCUAAACCUAGGGGAGAUGCUAUCUUUGCUGCAAUAAUCUUAGCCUACAUCUUGGAAUGGAAAUGGCCUUGGUGGAAAUGGUCUUCAACUCCUCUGGUCCAAGCUCAGGCCCUGUGACCCUGGAACAAUCCCCUUCCUGGUCCUCCAUGUAGGAGCAAUAACAUUCCCUUGCCAGCAGCACCAGCCAUUCUGAUGAUUAAAUGGUAUCGGACUCUGUUUUCCAAACUCAGUCAUUCAGAUGCCCCCUAUUUUAUUUCUUCCAUGUCUGCAAAUGAUUAUAAUAUUUUUAAAUGUAGGAUGAGUCCUUUUUAUUACACAUAGAAAUAGCUACUGUAAAUAGCAAACUCUAACACUGUGCCUAAUUAGGAAAUAAAGGUAACCAUAAAUACAGUAAAAAUGAAACAAUGUUAUUAUGGUUUAACCUGAUAGUGUGGCUUGCAAGGCCCUGGGCCUGAAGCCUGGGCAAUAAGUGAGAGUUAGAAAGGUGUCAAAGACAUGAUAGCAGCAAACUGAGGCUUUGUACCCCACGGUAAAUAGGACUGAAAGCAAAUUCACAGGGAGCAACUGAUCCAUUCCACAACAGAAUGCUCCCUGUCAAUUCGCUUUCCAUUCUGUUGUGUCCUGUCUCCCAGCAGAGACUACAAACUCCCCAAAACCACUUACCCACCAGCUGCACGUGAGAAGCCAAAGGUAGUUUAUGUGAAAGGGCUUUGGAAAUAAUCACGCACCAAGUGAAGGCAGAGGACACACCUUGUCAGCUUAGUUCUCAGCAGCAAAUCAUCUCUUUUCCAGGAUAACCCUCCCUGAUUCUUAUUGAAAUCUCUUUGCUGACCACACUAAGCUCUUCUCUCUCAGGGGCAGUGGGAGCCGUGGAGAGUGGAAUAGACCAGCUGUCUGUGACCUGCGAGGGAGUCCAAUGUCGGAAUCACUCCCCAGCCAAAUGCACGGUUUUAAAAAAUCUAUUUAUUUAUUUAUGUAGAGACCAGGCUAUGAGACUGGCUAAUUUUUCGUAUUUUUGGAUAGAGACAGGAUUUCAUCGUGUUGCCCAGGCUGGUCUUGAACUCCUGGGCUCAAGCGAUCCACCUGCCUCGGCUUCCCAAAGUGCUCAGGAUUACAGGCGUGAGCCACUGUGCCCAGCCACCAAAUGCAGUUGAAAAGAGUUUCUGCAAGAUAAUUCCACAGAAGAGGAAAGCAGUUAUCUGGCUGGGAAUACCUUAGACAGAGGCUGUCCUCUACACAGGCUGUCAGAACUGACCUACUGACCUGCCUGCUGGCAUGAUAGACCAGAGGGAAACACUCUUUCCACUCUUCCCAGACUGAGUGUAAGAGACAGACUUUUUUUUUUUUUUUUGAGACGGAGUCUCACUCUGUCACCCAGGCUGGAGUGCAAUGGCAAGAUCUCGGCUCACUGCAACCUCCACCUCCCCGGGUUCAAACCAUUCUCCUGCCUCAGCCUCCCAGGUAGCUGGGAUUACAGGCUCCCGCCACCACGCCUGGCUAAUUUUUGUAUUUUUAGUAGAGACAGGGUUUCACCAUGUUGGCCGGGCUGGUCUCGAACUCCCAACCUCAGGUGAUCCGCCUACCUUGGCCUCCCAAAGGGUUGGGAUUACAGGUGUAAGCCACUGCUCCCAGCCUUUUUUUUUUUUUUUAUUAGAGACAAGGGCUCCCCAUGUUGCCCAGGCUGAUCUUGAACUCUAGGCUCAAGCGAUCCUCCUGCCUGAGCCUCCCAAAGUGCUAGGAUUACAGGCAUGAGCACUGCUCCCAGCUCUGUUUUUGUUUUUUUAAGGAGGUAUAUUUUUUCUGUUCUCUCUCAGCCCUGAAGAAAGGCUACCCAUCCCCUUCAGACAUUCCUGAAAAUAUAUGUCAUCCAACAUCAAGGCCACCACAGUGACCACUAAGCAAUGCAAGAAGGUCCUCUGGGGUGCCCUGAGAUCUUGGCAGGGCAGGAAGAGUGAGAAGGGGCUUUGCCUGCUCACCUGAAAGUUCCCACCCAAGCCGGGCCCAGAAAACAAAAUGAAUUAUCUACAUGGUCAUCCAAUCAGCCACCAAAUGGCAUUACCUAGGUCCAUCAUCAUGUACCAAGCCACAGGUCAGACCCAGGGCCCCCCAAAUUAACAAGACACAGGCACUGUCCUCAGGAAGUGGAGAUCUAGCCAGGUCAGACCCACACACAAAUAACACUGAUACUAGAGAUAAUGAGAUUGGGAAUUAUGAUUCAGCCAUUCAACCUGGGCUUAUGUGGCAUCUACACCACCUGGCCCUGAUUUCAGUAGUGAGCACAGUUGACAGGGUCCCUUCCCUUCACAGGUGAGCCAUGUAGUCCACAAGUGGAGGUGGUCGUAAGUGAAAACCACAUUACCAGCAUGGUAAAGGGUUAGAAAGAGGGCACCGGGUGGGCGAGAACAUGAAGCAGGGGGUGCUGAUGGCUAAAGAAGUAAAGGAGGGGCUGGGCACUGUGGUUCAUGCCUAUAAUCCCAGCACUUUGGGAGACCAAGGCGGGUGGAUCACCUGAGGUCAGGAGUUCUAGACCAGCCUGGGCAACGUGGUGAAACCCUGUCUCUACUAAAAAUACAAAAAUUAGCCAGGCAUGGUGGUGCACGCCUGUAGUCCCAGCUACUUGGGAGGCUGGGGCAUGAGAAUUGCUUUAACCCGGAAGGUGGAGUUUGCAGUGAGCCGAGAUCGUGUCACUGCACUCCAGCCUGGGCGACAGAGGGAGACUCUGUCUCAAAAAAAAAAAAAAGUCAAGGAGGGUUUCCCAGAGUGGCCACUUGAUUAGAGACCUAGCACAGGAGGAAGAGAUGGGCAGGGAGAGUGACGGGGAGCAGCACAGUCCCUGGGAGCCCGAAGUGGGUGGGCACAGGGCUCCCUAGGAGAAUGGAAGGACAUCUAUGAGCUGUAGCCCAAGAGGAAGAGGUCACUGGGGCUAGAUGCGGCAGACCCUCGCAGGCUUUGGGAAGGGCUUCAGAAUUCAGCCUGAGGGCAAUGGGGAGCCCUUUUGGGAUAUUAAACUUGAGUAAGAUAUGAGCAUAUUUGCAUCUUGAAAAAUCAUUAUGGGAAGAUGGCUGGGAAGAGAGGAGGAGUGGCAGAAGAAAGAUAGGUUGGAGACAAUUGAUUGCUCGAUGAUAUAAAAUGUUAAGUACCAUGAAUGAUGCUGUUAGGCUGGAAUGCGCCAAGCAUAAAGGUGGGGCAUGGCAUCAAAAGGUAGGUCAACAUAUUAAAUAAUUCCAUGUAUUGAAAUAUCCAGAAAAUAUAUAGACAGAUCUAUAGAGAUAGAAACUGGUCUGCCCAGGACUAGGGGUUGUCUAAGGAUAAGGAGCUUCUUUUUUGGAUGGUGAAAUAACCUAAAAUAUAUUGUGCCAUUGUUUGCACAACUUUGUGAAUAUAUUAAAAACCUGUUAAUUGUACUCACUAAAUGUCCUCCUUCUAAAUUAAGCUGUUCUUGACAAGAAAAGGAAAGAAACAAAGAAAAGAAGAGAAAAAAGGUCAAGGUUUGGUCCUGGGUGCUCAAAUGGCAGGCCACAGACAGGAAACACAGUUGUGAGGAAUUACAACAGCCUCCCGGCCAGAGCUGGAGAGGUGGAGCCCAGGUCCCCUCUAACACCCCUUCUCCUGGCCAGGUUGGAGUCCCGCCACAGGCCACCAGAGCGGAGCAGCGCAGCGCCCUGUCUCCCAGCCUGAGGUGCAGUGCUGCAUCUCUGGUCAGUUGGGAGUCUGAGAUGAAGCACUGUAGCUCAGGAAGAGAGAAGUUGUUCUGCAGCCAUCAGCCUGGAAGUGGUAAGUGCUGGGGGGUUGUGGGGGGCCAUAACAGGAAGGACAGAGUGUUUCCAGACUCCAUACUAUCAGCCACUUGUGAUGCUGGGGAAGUUCCUCUACACAAGUUCCCCUGGUGCCACGAUCUGCUUCACGAGUCUGGGCAUGUCCUGACUCCUCUGUGUACCCCAGUGUGUCCAUCUUAGCAUGAGGCGUUAGCAUUUCCCCAGCACCCUGCCUCUGCUUUCUCUUUCUGAGCCCAUGGCAGACACAGCUAAUCAGUAAAGGCAUAUAUUCUUUUUUUUUUGAGACACAGUCUCACUCCAUCACCCAGGCUGGAGUGCAGUGGCAUAAUCUCAGCUCACUGCAACCUCCUCCUCCCAGGGUCAAGCAAUUCUCGUGCCUCAGCCUCCCAAGUAGCUGAGAUUACAGGUGUGCGCCACCACACCUGGCUAAUUUUUGUAUUUUUAGUAGAGAUGGGGUUUCACUAUGUUGGCCAGGCUGGUCUCAAACUCCUGACUUCAGGUGAUCUGCCCGCCUCGGCCUCCCAAAGUGCUGGGAUUACAGGCAUGAGCCUCCACGCCCCGCCAGGCAUCCAUUCUUGAAGUGCUCAGAUGCAGCUUCAGAAUCCUCAACAAUGAGCCCUGGAAAGCCACUAGUACUGAUUCACAGCUGAAACUCAUUCAUCAUUUGUGGAUCAAACAAUUCCUAAAAACCCUUUCAGCCCUGAAGAUAAAAAUUCUGGCCUUUGAGUCAGGGUCUUCACUCUGUACUUCUAACCUUGGCUCCGGGGUAUUGCCGAAACCAGUCCAGGCACGUCACAAAUGUCUGACUUCUCCCAGAGGCUUCAGAAGCACAAUGAGCAGCAGAGGAGAGCCAUGGAGCCAAGCACAGUCUCAUUUAACCUCCCCAAAAGCUUGGGAAGUGGGUGGUGUUAUAGCCCCAUUUUACAGAUGAGAAAAACUGAGGCUUAUUUAAGCAGCUCACCUAAAGUCACAUAUUGAUUGUGCUGAGCUGAGAUUGUACCCUAAUCUGCCUUCAAAUCCAUGUUUUUACCCAUUGCAUGUGAUUAUGGAACCUGGGACCGAGGAGCAGGAGGAGAACAUUCUAAAUUCUGCUCCCAUCUUGUCUUUACAUCUCAGGUCACUUUUAGCAAAGACAGACCCGGACACUUGCCAUUAAUACUACAGGCUUCCUUCCUCCUACCCCCUUCCCCCAAUCUUAUUCAUCUCACCUCUCCAGUAGGUCGUGGACUCAUGCAUUUUAUAAUUAAAGAAGGCCAAGGCUCAGGGGUUAAGUGACUUACUGGAGGUUAUCAGAGAGGAAGUUGCCAAACCCAGGCUAGGAACUGAAUGGUUGGUUUAAAUCCACCCCUCUGGCAGGAGACUGGGGAAUACACAUGAGCCGUGCAGACAGCAGAGGGCAGUCCUGGGGGUGGGGGCGCCAGAGGGUUUCCGGUACUUUUCAGGGCAAUUGAAGUUCCGGUCACUACUCCCCCCCAGAGCAAUAAGCCACAUCCGGCGACGUGUGGCACCCCACCCUGGCUGCUACAGAUGGGGCUGGAUGCAGAAGAGAACUCCAGCUGGUCCUUAGGGACACGGCGGCCUUGGCG